UUUUAUGAUGAAUAAGAGUUUUACUCGAAAUAACCCAGCUCGUCGAAUGUCUCAAAUUUUUUUCCAACGUAGAGGCAUCAUGAGAUUACGUCCCGUCUGAUUUA
rfam:Aspergillus niger supercontig An08